rnacentral:rRNA from 1 species
GAUGAACGCUGGCGGCGUGCCUAAUACAUGCAAGUCGAGCGAACGGACGAGAAGCUUGCUUCUCUGAUGUUAGCGGCGGACGGGUGAGUAACACGUGGAUAACCUACCUAUAAGACUGGGAUAACUUCGGGAAACCGGAGCUAAUACCGGAUGAUAUUUUGAACCGCAUGGUUCAAAAGUGAAAGACGGUCUUGCUGUCACUUAUAGAUGGAUCCGCGCUGCAUUAGCUAGUUGGUAAGGUAACGGCUUACCAAGGCAACGAUGCAUAGCCGACCUGAGAGGGUGAUAGGCCACACUGGAACUGAGACACGGUCAAGACUCCUACGGGAGGCAGCAGUAGGGAAUCUGCCGCAAUGGGCGAGAGCAUGACGGAGCAACGCCGCGUGAGUGAUGAAGGUCUUCGGAUCGUAAAACUCUGUUAUUAGGGAAGAACAUAUGUGUAAGUAACUGUGCACAGCUUGACGGUACCUAAUCAGAAAGCCACGGCUAACUACGUG